rnacentral:rRNA from 1 species
AUUGAACGCUGGCGGCAGGCCUAACACAUGCAAGUCGAGCGAACCUAGCUUGCUAGGUGAGCGGCGAACGAGUGAGUAACACGUAGGAAUCUGCCCGGUAGUGGGGGACAACGUCUCGAAAGGGACGCUAAUACCGCAUACGCCCUAAGGGGGAAAGCAGGGGAUCUUCGGACCUUGCGCUAUCGGAUGAGCCUGCGUCG